CGACCUCAAGUCAGGCAGGAUCACUCACUGAGUUUAAGCAUAUCAAUAAGUGGAGGAAAAAAAACUUACCAGGAUUCCCCUAGUAACGAUGAGCGAAUCAGAAAGAGCCCAGCUUGAGAAUCGGGUACCCCUGUCAUUCGAAUUGUAUUCUGGAGAAGCAUUUCAGCAAUGGACCCAACCCAAGUCCCCUAGAAAGGGGCGAUGGAGAGGGUGAGAGCCCCAUUGUGCCUGAACCUGUUACAUCACAAGGCACUAUCCUUGAGUCGGGUUGUUUGGGAAUGCAACCCAAUCGGUCGGUAAAUUUUGUCCAAGGCUAAAUACGGACGAGAGAUCGAUAACGAACAAGUACCGUGAGGGAAAGAUGAAAAGGACUUUGAAAAGAGAGUCAAAGAGUGCUUGAAAUUGUUGGGAGGGAAGCAGAUAAGGGCCGACGAUGUGCCCCAGUCGGAUGUGAAACAAUGAGAACCGGUCCGCCAAUCAGCUCGAGGCGUGGAUCGACGCGGGUCACAACGACUGCUCAAGCUCGAGCUUUCGAUGUGCCCACGACGACGUCAUCACCACGAUCGUGGAAUGCAACACGCAUUAUCUUCACGUGCCUUAACACCUUCGUGCUCCCGACGUCGGUAUGCGGGCUCUCCAUCCAGCCUGUCAUGAAACACGGACUAAAGAGUCUAAUAUGAGUGCGAUUCAAUGGGCCAAGAAACUCGUAAAACAUAAGGAAGCUGAUUGGCAGGAUCCCUCGCGGGUGCACCACCGAUCGACCUUGAUCUUCUGAGAAGGGUUUGAGUGCGAGCAUGCCUGUCGAGACCCGAAAGAUGAUGAACUAUGCCUGAGUGGGGCAAAGCCAAAGGAAACUCUGAUAGAGGCCCGUAGUGAUACUGACGUGCAAAUCAUUCGACUGAUUUGGGUAUAGGAGAGAAAGACUAAUCGAACCGUCUAGUAGCUAGUUCCCUCUGAAGUUUUCCUCAGGAUAGCUGGAGCCCCCGAUGAGUUCUAUCGGGUAAAGCCAAUGAUUAGAGGCAUUGGGUGCACAACGCCCUCGACCUAUUCUCAAACUUUAAAUAGGUAGGAUGGCGUGGCUGCUUCGUUGAGCUGCACCACGAAAUCGAGAGCUCCAAGUGGGCCAUUUUUGGUAAGCAAAACUAGCGAUGCGGGAUGAACCGAAAGCUAGGUUACGGUGCCCAACUACACGCUAACCUAGAACCCACAAAGGGUGUUGGUUGAUUAAGACAGUAGGACGGUGGUCAUGCAAGUCAAAAUCCGCUAAGGAGUGUGUAACAACUCACCUGUCGAAUCAACUAGCCCUAAGAAUGGAUGGCGAUUAAGUGAGCGACCUAUACCCGAUCGUCUGGGCAAGGGCCAAGCCCCGAUGAGUAGAAGGAUGUGGUGAUCACCGUAAAACCUAGGGCACAAGCCUGGAUGAAGCGAGCGACCGUCAGUGCAGAUCUUAGUGGUAGUAGAAAAUAUUCAAAUGAAAACUUUGAAGGUCAAAUAGGAGAAAGUUUCCAUGUGAACAACACUUGCACAUUGGUUAGUUGAUCCUAAGAGAUGGGGGAAGCCCGUCUGACAAUGCGUCCUAUGUGAGCUUUUAGAGGGAAUUGGGUCAAAAUUCUUGAAUCGGGACGCAAUGGCUGACGGCAACGUUCUAGAGUUCGGAGAUGUCGGUAGGGGCCUCGAGAAGAGUUAUCUUUUCUGUUAAUGACCUGCCCACCUUGGAAACGGCUCAGUCGAAGGUAGGGUCCAGUGAUCGAAAGAGCACCACACGUCACGUAGUGCUCGGUGGGCCCCCGUCAACCUUUGAAAAUUUGGAGGAUCGAGUGCCGUCCGUGCUCGGUCGUACUCAUAACUGCAUUAGGUCUCCAAGGUGAAUAGCUUCUGGUUGAUGGAACAAUGUAGGCAAGGAAGUCAACAAAACAGAUCCGUAACAUCAAGAAAAAGAUUGGCUCUGAGGGCUCGGUACGAGGGUCCUAGUCCCGAACCUGUCGACUAUCAGUGCCCUACUCGAGUUGCUCCUGUGAUGAGAGCGGGUCACUACGUGUCGAUCGAGGGACGGAUUGGGAACGGCUCCCUCGGGGGCUUUCCUCGGGUGAGGAACAAUCCCCUCAGAAAUAGUACGGACAAGGGGAAUCUAACUAUUUAAUUAAAACAAAGCAUUGCAAUGGUCCCUGUGGAUGCUCACGUAAUGUGAUUUCUGCCCAGUGCUCUGAAUGUCAAAGUGAAGAAAUUCAACCAAGCGCGGGUAAAUAGAGGGAGUAACUAUGACUCUCUUAAGGUAGCCAAAUGCCUUGUCAUCUAAUUAGUGACGCGCAUGAAUGGAUUAACGAGAUUCCCACUGUCCCUAUCUACUAUCCAGUGAAACCACAACCAAGGGAAUGGGCUUGGUGGAAUCAGGGAGGAAAGAAGACCCUGUUGAGCUUGACUCUAGUCUGACUUUGUGAAAUGACUUGAGAGGUGUAGGAUAAAUAGGAGCCCCUGGGCGAAAUUGAAAUACCACUACUUUUAACGUUGUUUUACUUAUUUCAUGAAUCAGAGGUAGGGCACGAUCCCUUCUUUUAGACCCAAGGCCAGCCUUGAUAAUCGAUCCGGGUGAAAGACAUUGUCAGGUAGAGAGUUUGGCUGGGGUGGCACAUCUGUUAAAAGAUAAUGCAGGUGUCCUAAGAUGAGCUCAACGAGAACAAAAAUUUCAUGUGCAACAAAAGGGUAAAACCUCGUUUGAUUGUGAUUUCCAAUUCGAAUAUGAACCGUGAAUGCAUGGCCUAUCGAUCCUUUAAACCUUCGAGAUUUGAAGCUAGAGGUGUCAAAAAAGUUACCACAGGGAUAACUGGCUUAUGGCAGCCAAGUGUUCGUACCGACAUUGCUUUUUGAUCCUUCAAUGUUGACUCUUCCUAUCAUUGUGAAGCAGAAUUCACCAAGUGUUGGAUUGUUCACCCACCAACAGGGAACGUGAGCUAGGUUUAGACCAUCUUGAGAUAGGUUAGUUUUACCCUAUUGAUGGCAGCAUCGUGAUAGUAAUUCAACCUAGUACGAGAGGAACCAUUAAUUCGCAUAAUUGGUCAUCGCACUUGGUUGAAAAGCUAGUGGCAUGAAGCUACCGUGCGUUGGAUUAUGACUGAACACCUCUAAGUCAAAAUUUGGGCUAGAAGCGAUGCGUGCGCCCGUCGCCCGAUUGUCGACCCGCAGUAAGGGCCCAUGGCCCUCAAGGGCACGUGUCAUCGGUGUAACCUCACAGCAGAUGAGCCGCGCGGGCCUCUUUAGAGCUCAAUUCCCACCGAA
rnacentral:rRNA from 1 species